UAUUACCAGAGAAAACAACAGUCCUGUCUCUUUUCCCUUUCACACACAUCUUUCAGGCUGGCCUCUUGAGAAUUAUUUCCCAUUUUGGUUGACCUUAAUAUUCAUAUUAACCACUUCAUGUCUGUACAGAAAUGGCAAAGGAGAAGAAGUUCCCAUCACGGUUACUGAAGUAUACUAGUGAAGAUUUUAUGUAGCUGGGGCUACAGCAUUCUUUACAACAAUAAAAGAACAGAUUUGAGAAAGGCAAACAGGUUCAAAUGUCCAUGCUAAUACUAACCAGCUGAGUAACCUUAGACAAAUUAUUUAACUUGUUAUGAGCUUCCACUCUGCAAUCAACAAAAUGCAGCUGCCAUGAUGCAAAGAAGUCCAAGCUAUCUUGCUAAAAUUAGGAGCCACACAGAACGGCCCUGGAAGAUGAAAUACCACAUACAGAGAGAGGCCACGUGAAGGAGAACCAAAGCACCCAGCCAAGAGUCAGCACCAAAACACCAAUCCAGUGAGACAAGCCAUGUUGGAGCUUCCAGCCCAGCCCAGCCACCGUCUUUAAUCAGCUGCAUGAAUAACAGCCAUCACUAUAUGUAACAAGACCACCAAUCAACCCACUG
rnacentral:lncRNA from 1 species